rnacentral:rRNA from 1 species
GGGUUGUGAGGUUAAGCGACUAAGCGUACACGGUGGAUGCCCUGGCAGUCAGAGGCGAUGAAGGACGUGCUAAUCUGCGAAAAGCGCCGGCGAGGUGAUAUGAACCCUUGACCCGGCGAUGUCCGAAUGGGGAAACCCAGUGCAAUCCGUUGCACUAUCGUUAGCUGAAUACAUAGGUUAACGAGGCGAACCGGGGGAACUGAAACAUCUAAGUACCCCGAGGAAAAGAAAUCAACCGAGAUUCCCCCAGUAGCGGCGAGCGAACGGGGAGCAGCCCGGAGUCUGAAUCAGCUUGUGUGUUAGUGGAACGGUCUGGAAAGUCCGACGGUACAGGGUGAUAGUCCCGUACACGAAAGCACACUUGCUGUGAACUCGAAGAGUAGGGCGGGACACGUGGUAUCCUGUCUGAAUAUGGGGGACCAUCCUCCAAGGCUAAAUACUCCUGACUGACCGAUAGUGAACCAGUACCGUGAGGGAAAGGCGAAAAGAACCCCGGCGAGGGGAGUGAAAAAGAACCUGAAACCGUGUACGUACAAGCAGUGGGAGCCUCUUUAUGGGGUGACUGCGUACCUUUUGUAUAAUGGGUCAGCGACUUAUAUUCUGUAGCAAGGUUAACCGUAUAGGGGAGCCGAAGGGAAACCGAGUCUUAACUGGGCGUUAAGUUGCAGGGUAUAGACCCGAAACCCGGUGAUCUAGCCAUGGGCAGGUUGAAGGUUGGGUAACACUAACUGGAGGACCGAACCGACUAAUGUUGAAAAAUUAGCGGAUGACCUGUGGCUGGGGGUGAAAGGCCAAUCAAACCGGGAGAUAGCUGGUUCUCCCCGAAAGCUAUUUAGGUAGCGCCUCGUGAACUCAUCUUCGGGGGUAGAGCACUGUUUCGGCUAGGGGGCCAUCCCGGCUUACCAACCCGAUGCAAACUACGAAUACCGAAGAAUGUUAUCACGGGAGACACACGGCGGGUGCUAACGUCCGUCGUGAAGAGGGAAACAACCCAGACCGCCAGCUAAGGUCCCAAAGUCAUGGUUAAGUGGGAAACGAUGUGGGAAGGCACAGACAGCCAGGAUGUUGGCUUAGAAGCAGCCAUCAUUUAAAGAAAGCGUAAUAGCUCACUGGUCGAGUCGGCCUGCGCGGAAGAUGUAACGGGGCUAAACCAUGCACCGAAGCUGCGGCAGCGACACUAUGUGUUGUUGGGUAGGGGAGCGUUCUGUAAGCCGUUGAAGGUGUGCUGUGAGGCAUGCUGGAGGUAUCAGAAGUGCGAAUGCUGACAUAAGUAACGAUAAAGCGGGUGAAAAGCCCGCUCGCCGGAAGACCAAGGGUUCCUGUCCAACGUUAAUCGGGGCAGGGUGAGUCGACCCCUAAGGCGAGGCCGAAAGGCGUAGUCGAUGGGAAACAGGUUAAUAUUCCUGUACUUGGUGUUACUGCGAAGGGGGGACGGAGAAGGCUAUGUCAGCCGGGCGACGGUUGUCCCGGUUUAAGCAUGUAGGCGGAGGUUCCAGGUAAAUCCGGUACCUUAUUAACGCUGAGGUGUGAUGACGAGGCACUACGGUGCUGAAGUGAUAAAUGCCCUGCUUCCAGGAAAAGCCUCUAAGCAUCAGGUAACACGAAAUCGUACCCCAAACCGACACAGGUGGUCAGGUAGAGAAUACCAAGGCGCUUGAGAGAACUCGGGUGAAGGAACUAGGCAAAAUGGUGCCGUAACUUCGGGAGAAGGCACGCUGAUAUGUAGGUGAAGCCCCUGCGGGUGGAGCUGAAAUCAGUCGAAGAUACCAGCUGGCUGCAACUGUUUAUUAAAAACACAGCACUGUGCAAACACGAAAGUGGACGUAUACGGUGUGACGCCUGCCCGGUGCCGGAAGGUUAAUUGAUGGGGUUAGCGGCAACGCGAAGCUCUUGAUCGAAGCCCCGGUAAACGGCGGCCGUAACUAUAACGGUCCUAAGGUAGCGAAAUUCCUUGUCGGGUAAGUUCCGACCUGCACGAAUGGCGUAAUGAUGGCCAGGCUGUCUCCACCCGAGACUCAGUGAAAUUGAACUCGCUGUGAAGAUGCAGUGUACCCGCGGCAAGACGGAAAGACCCCGUGAACCUUUACUAUAGCUUGACACUGAACACUGGUCCUUGAUGUGUAGGAUAGGUGGGAGGCUUUGAAGCGUGGACGCCAGUCUGCGUGGAGCCAACCUUGAAAUACCACCCUUUAAUGGCUGGUGUUCUAACGUAGACCCGUAAUCCGGGUUGCGGACAGUGUCUGGUGGGUAGUUUGACUGGGGCGGUCUCCUCCCAAAGAGUAACGGAGGAGCACGAAGGUUGGCUAAUCCUGGUCGGACAUCAGGAGGUUAGUGCAAUGGCAUAAGCCAGCUUGACUGCGAGCGUGACGGCGCGAGCAGGUGCGAAAGCAGGUCAUAGUGAUCCGGUGGUUCUGAAUGGAAGGGCCAUCGCUCAACGGAUAAAAGGUACUCCGGGGAUAACAGGCUGAUACCGCCCAAGAGUUCAUAUCGACGGCGGUGUUUGGCACCUCGAUGUCGGCUCAUCACAUCCUGGGGCUGAAGUAGGUCCCAAGGGUAUGGCUGUUCGCCAUUUAAAGUGGUACGCGAGCUGGGUUUAGAACGUCGUGAGACAGUUCGGUCCCUAUCUGCCGUGGGCGCUGGAGAAUUGAGGGGGGCUGCUCCUAGUACGAGAGGACCGGAGUGGACGCAUCACUGGUGUUCGGGUUGUCAUGCCAAUGGCACUGCCCGGUAGCUAAAUGCGGAAGAGAUAAGUGCUGAAAGCAUCUAAGCACGAAACUUGCCCCGAGAUGAGUUCUCCCUGAGACCUUGAGUCUCCUGAAGGAACGUUGAAGACGACGACGUUGAUAGGUCGGGUGUGUAAGCGCAGCGAUGCGUUGAGCUAACCGAUACUAAUGAACCGUGAGGCUUAACCUUACAACGCCGAAGGUGUUU